rnacentral:rRNA from 1 species
UACGUAGGGCGCAAGCGUUAUCCGGAAUUAUUGGGCGUAAAGAGCUCGUAGGCGGUUUGUCGCGUCUGCCGUGAAAGUCCGGGGCUUAACUCCGGAUCUGCGGUGGGUACGGGCAGACUUGAGUGAUGUAGGGGAGACUGGAAUUCCUGGUGUAGCGGUGAAAUGCACAGAUAUCAGGAGGAACACCGAUGGCGAAGGCAGGUCUCUGGGCAUUAACUGACGCUGAGGAGCGAAAGCAUGGGGAGCGAACAGG